rnacentral:rRNA from 1 species
GACGGAGGGGGCAAGCGUUGUUCGGAAUUACUGGGCGUAAAGCGCGCGUAGGCGGCUUUGUAAGUUAGAGGUGAAAGCCCAGGGCUCAACCCUGGAAUUGCCUUUAAGACUGCAUCGCUUGAACAUCGGAGAGGUAAGUGGAAUUCCGAGUGUAGAGGUGAAAUUCGUAGAUAUUCGGAAGAACACCAGUGGCGAAGGCGACUUACUGGACGAUUGUUGACGCUGAGGUGCGAAAGCGUGGGGAGCAAACAGG